rnacentral:snRNA from 1 species
GCAUUUCAAAGGAAUAACAGGAGGUGAGGUCGCCCCACUGAUUGCCAGGGUUGACUUGGCUGAUCUGGCUGGCUAGGCGGGUGUCCCCUUCCUCCCUCACCACUCCAGGUGCGUCCCUCCCGAAGCUGCACACUUGGUCGAAGAGGACGACCAUCCCUGAUAGAGGAGGACUGGUCUUCGGUCAAGGGUGUACAAGUAGCUGCGCUCCCCUGCUAGAACCUCCAAACACGCGCUCAAGGUCCAUUUAAAGGAAUAACAAUGACAUCGAUUCUCCCUUCUAUUUCAUCUGUCCUUUUCCAGCAAGAAGAAAAGAGAC